UUUAGAUAUAUUGUUGCCCAGUGGCCACUUUGUAAGCAGAACUGGCGCUGUGGGAUGAACCCAAACGUGAUGUUACGACGCUAAAUUAAUGACUCAUGUUGAUACCAUGAAAGCGUUGGUUGCUUAAAACAGCAGGACGGUGGACAUGGAAGUCGUAAUCCGCUAAGGAGUGUGUAACAACUCACCUGCCGAAGCAACUAGCCCUUAAAAUGGAUGGCGCUUAAGUCAUAUGUCUAUACAUCACCGCUAGAAUAAAAGGAUUUUAUCAGCAAUGGUAAAAUUUAUGAAAUUCUAGUGAGUAGGAGGGUACAAUGGUGUGCGCAGAAGUGCUUGGCGUGAGCCUGCAUGGAGCCGCCAUUGGCACAGAUCUUGGUGGUAGUAGCAAAUAAUCGAAUGAGAUCUUGGAGGACUGAAGUGGAGAAGGGUUUCGUGUGAACAGUGGUUGAUCACGAGUUAGUCGGUCCUAAGCCCUAUGCGAAAGCUGUUUAAAUUAUGUUAUUAACAAAAACACAAAACUUUGUUAAGCUAUAUGCACAUAAUCUAAAUCGGGCGAAAGGGAAUACGGUUCCAAUUCCGUAACCUGUUGAGUAUACGUUUGUUUACUAAAAGUGGGUCUUAUUACACUCAUCCUGGCAACAGGAACAACCAUAGAGAAGCCUUCGAGAGGUAUUGGAAGAGUUUUCUUUUCUGUUGAACAAUCGUAUAACCAUGGAAGUCUUUCACAGAGAGAUAUGGUUAAUGGAUUGGAAGAACAUGACAUUUACUGUUGUGUCAAUAUUUUCUCCUUGGACCUUGAAAA
rnacentral:rRNA from 1 species